GGGAGAUUUGGGAUUUUUGGGGAUUUUAGGAUUUUUGGGGGGAAUUUUUGGGCAUUUUGGGGAUUUUUUGGGGGGAUUUGGGAUUUUUGGGGGAUUUGGGAUUUUUUUGGGGGUAUUUUUGGGGUUUUUUGGGAUUUUUUGGGGGGAUUUUUGGGGGUUCCUUGGUACGCGGCCCCUUUAAGAACGGCCGAGGCUCCUCCCCGCGCCUCCCAUUGGUGCAGCCGCCGUCCAAUGGGAGCGGUCGCUGCCGUUCCCGGCCGCUGAUUGGACGGGGAGAUACACUCCCGAUGACGUCACGCCGUUGCUGGGCUACAGCCAAUGGCGAGCGGCCUCCCCUGCCCCCGCUCCUGAUUGGCUGCGGGGUUGAAAUCGCCAGCCAAUAAACGAUCGCGUUGGCGGAGCGGCGAGCGCGUGACGCCACGGGGCGGGGCCUGAGAUCGCCCCGCCCCCAGGAGCUCCAAAACCCCCAAAAAUCCGAAAAAUUCCCCAAAAACCGCCAAAACUGCCCCCAAACCCUCAAAUCUGUCCCAAAACCCCCAAAUUUCCCCAAAAAACUCUGAAUUUGCCUCUAAAACCCCCAAAUCUGUCCCAAACCCCCCAAAUUUCCCCUAAAACCCCCAAAUCUGCCCCCAACCCCCCAAAUUUCCCCAAAAACCCAAAUUUCCUCAAAAGACUCCAAAUCUUCCCCCAACCCCCCAAAUUUCCCCAAAAACCCCCAAAUCUGCCCCAAAACCCCCAAAUUUCCCCAAAUCUGCCCCCAACCCCCCAAAUUUCCCAAAAAACCCCCAAAUCUGCCCCAAACCCCCCAAAUUUCCCCAAAAACCCCCAAAUCCCCCAAAUUUCCCCAACUCCGGCAGGGCCGCGCGUCCCGGGUGGGCGGAGCCGCUUUAUUGGGGGUUUUUUGGGGGGGCGGGGCCGUACAAAGGGGGCGGGGCCGCGGGGGUGGGGGAGGGUCAGAAGAAGUCGACGUCCUCGGGGGCGUCCAGGUCGCGGUACUCGACGAUGGCUCGGGGGUCCCCCCGCACCAGCCUGGGGGGCAGCGGGGUCAGCGCCCCCGGCGCCGCAGAAACCCCCCCAAAAUGCCCCAAAAUCCGACCGAAAUACACCAAAAAUACCCAAAACCCGCCCAAAAUGCCCCAAAAUCCGACCGAAAUACACCAAAAAUACCCAAAACCCCCCCAAAAUGCCCCAAAAUCCGACCGAAAUACCACAAAAUCCACCCAAAACCCGCCCAAAAUGCCCCAAAAUACCCCAAAAUGCCCCCAAAAUUCCCCAAAUUCACCCAAAAUACCACAAAAUCCGCCCAAAACCCAUCCAAAAUACCACGAAUCCAGCCAAAAUACCCCAAAAUCCACCCAAAAUACCACAAAAUGCCCCAAAAUCCGACCGAAAUACCCCAA
rnacentral:lncRNA from 1 species